CCUACGGGAGGCUGCAGUGAGGAAUAUUGGUCAAUGGGCGCGAGCCUGAACCAGCCAAGUAGCGUGAAGGAUGACUGCCCUACGGGUUGUAAACUUCUUUUAUAAAGGAAUAAAACGAGGCACGUGUGCCUUUUUGCAUGUACUUUAUGAAUAAGGAUCGGCUAACUCCGUGCCAGCAGCCGCGGUAAUACGGAGGAUCCGAGCGUUAUCCGGAUUUAUUGGGUUUAAAGGGAGCGUAGAUGGGUUGUUAAGUCAGUUGUGAAAGUUUGCGGCUCAACCGUAAAAUUGCAAUUGAUACUGGCAGCCUUGAGUACAGUUGAGGUAGGCGGAAUUCGUGGUGUAGCGGUGAAAUGCUUAGAUAGCACGAAGAACUCCGAUUGCGAAGGCAGCUUACUAAACUGCCACUGACAUUGAUGCUCGAAAGUGUGGGUAUCAAACAGGAUUAGAUACCCCAGUAGUC
rnacentral:rRNA from 1 species